rnacentral:rRNA from 1 species
CUACGGAGGGUCCAAGCGUUAUCCGGAUUCAUUGGGUUUAAAGGGUCCGCAGGCGGGAAAAUAAGUCAGUGGUGAAAGCCUACAGCUCAACUGUAGAACUGCCAUUGAUACGGUUUUUCUUGAGUAUAGAUGAAGUGGGCGGAAUAUAUCAUGUAGCGGUGAAAUGCAUAGAUAUGAUAUAGAACACCGAUUGCGAAGGCAGCUCACUAAACUAUUACUGACGCUCAGGGACGAAAGCGUGGGGAGCGAACAGGAUUAGAAACCCUAGUAGUCC